UAGCUUAAUCAUUAGCCUUUUAAUUGAAGGCCAGUACAAAAGAUUUAACAUCUUUAUUAUUAUCUAAAAUUAACAUAUUUAAAUUUUCCCAAGUGUAAAAAGACACUUAUUCUAAAGAAAGACGACAAGACCCUAUUGAACUUAACUUAAGUUAAACUGGGGAAGUUAAUUAAUUAUAAUUUUAAUUCAAACCUUCCUAAAAUAGACCUAAUAAUAUUAAUAAAAUGAACAAGUUACCAUAGGGAUAACAGCAUAAUAUUAUUUUUAAGAUCUUAUAUAAAACAAUGUUUAUGACCUCGAUGUUGAAUAAUUAUCUUUUUUAACGUAACAAAUUAAAAAGAGAGUCUGUUCGACUUUUAAAAAAUUACA
rnacentral:rRNA from 1 species